AGUGAACGCUGGCGGCGUGCCUAAUACAUGCAAGUCGAACGAUGAAGUCCUAGCUUGCUAGGAUGGAUUAGUGGCGCACGGGUGAGUAAUAUAUAGUUAAUCUGCCCUACACUGUGGAACAACAUUUGGAAACGACUGCUAAUACCUCAUACUCCUAUUUGACAUAAGUUAAAUAGGGAAAGUCUUUUCGGUGUAGGAUGAGACUAUAUCGUAUCAGCUAGUUGGUAAGGUAAUGGCUUACCCAGGCUAUGACGCGUAACUGGUCUGAGGGGAUGCGCAGUCACAUUGGAACGGAGGCACGGUCCAAACACAUACGGGAGGGAGCAGUAAGGAAUAUUGCGCAAAGGGGGAAAGCCUGACGCAGCAACGGCGCGUGGAGGAUGACACUUGUCAGAGCGUAAACUCCGUUUAUCAGGAAGGAAUAAUGACGGUACCUGAUGAAUAAGCACCGGCUAACUCCGUG
rnacentral:rRNA from 1 species